AUAUAAUCUCAGACGAAGUGCAAAUCUACAGAGCUUCACUGUCUCUUGGUUUCAUGGAUCCCAUGGGAACACCGGCAACCGUUCCACAGCCGACGGAGCCAACACCACCUUCAACUUCACCGGUCCCCUCGUCAUUACCUGCAAUAGCUUCCGCGGCAGAAACUGCACCUUCAUCUUCCUCAAGUCCGAACCCUAACCCUAGUCCUAACCCUAACCAAAACCAAAACCAAAACCAAAACCAAAACCAAAAUACACAGCCAUCGACUUCUCUUCAGCAGCCACAACAACCACCACUACCUCCUCAACCGCAGCAGCAGCCGAAUUACCAACACUCUCAAACCCGGCCUUCAGGCAUUCCUUUGAACCGUCUUCGACCACAACCGCCUUAUCAAAAUUUCACGCAUAUCUCGUCUCUCACUUCUUCGACAACCUCAGCUCCCUUGCCUCCGUCCUUAUCAUCGCCUGCUUCACCUUCCAUUUCCACACCACCCAUUCAGAGAGGUGGUAUUGCAAUUGGAGUUCCGGCGCAGCAUGCCAGGCCUCCCCAGCAACCCACGUUUUUCAACCAACCAUUUACUGGGUUGGCUAGGGGUUCAGUCAAUGUAUCUGACCCAAGUACUAAUACAACCAACGCUACUACGGUGAGGCCGCCAAUGCAUGGGGUUCCGGGUAUGGGCAUGGUGGGUUCUCAUGGUCCUGGGUCUCAAUUGCGGCCAGGUGGGGUUUCUGGACAUCCUCAACAGAGAUCUGUUCAACCACCAAUAAGAUCUCAAUCUCCAUCCAGUAGCCAGUCUUUAGCUAGUCAAAAGUUUCAAGGCCAUAGUCUACUAAGAGUCUCAUCUAUGGGUCCUCCUGGUUCUCCUUCGCCGGGUACGCCGCAAAGUUCCCAAAACCCUUCACAACCAUGGAUGUCAGCGGGCCAACAGGGGAAACAAACACAUCCAUCUUUACCAUCCUCUUCAUACAGGCCACAGAUGAAGCAACAGUCUUUGCAGCAAAGAUCUCACAUUCCUCAACAACAGCAUCAUCCUUUACCGAUGGCUUCCCAUCAACAACAUAUGCCAUCUGCCCAGCAGCAGCAGCAACAACAACCAUCACCAUCACUUCAGUCACAAGAGCACCAUGUACAACAAUAUCCACCACCAAGGGUUCCCCAGUCUCUGCCUCAUCAAUAUCAGGCUACACGAGGACAAGGAUUGGGAAACCAGAAAACAACACCCUCUCUUACAACAGUGCAACCUACAAAUGCCCAGUCAGGGACCCAAAAUAUAGCGGCUAGUGCAGAUGCUGGUGAGUGUGGUAAUCAGGUCGUCAGUAAGAGAAGCAUACAUGAACUAGUCUCUCAGAUUGAUCCAUCUGAAAGGUUAGAUCCUGAAGUUGAAAACAUUCUUGUGGAGAUUGCAGAUGAAUUCGUUGACAGUAUAACAACAUUUGCUUGUUCAUUGGCCAAGCAUCGCAAAUCAACUACAUUAGAAGCAAAGGACGUGCUUCUGCAUUUAGAAAGAAAUUGGAAUAUAACACUUCCUGGGUUUGGUGGAGAUGAGAUCAAGAGCUACAAGAAGCCGUUUGCAGCAGAUAUUCACAAGGAGCGGCUUGCAGCAAUUAAGAAAUCGAUUGUAGGAGUUGAGGCAGUGAAUACGAAGAGCUCUGCUGGACAAGCUGCUGGAAAUCUGAAAGGUCAUGUGGCAAAGGCACCUGUUAUUGGUUCUCCCAAGACGAGUGAAGUGCCUUGAGUUAAUUAGGCAUCUUUUGGUAGUGUCCUAUGGGGAUGAUCUUCAUUACAUAAGGUAGAUCUCUGUAGGAGUGGAAGGUAAUGACCCUGAUGGCAUGGCGAGGGAAGUCCAAAUUUUGAGAUAUUGUAGGGAUUGUUGCACAGUUUUUGUGAAAAAUCUGAUAAUUUAGCCUGGAAUUUGUAAAUACAAAUACUUUAAGUGCGUCCGUAUUAGUCUUGCAGCCAAAAGUAGAAUUUAAUUGUAGACUUUGGU